AAAGUCGUAACAAGGUUUCCGUAGGUGAACCUGCGGAAGGAUCAUUACUGAGGAUUCCUGGCGCAGGCUGGGGAUACCCGACCUAUUGUCAUGUGCACGUGCGGGGAGGAACGGUGGGGUGUUGGUGUGUGGCUUGUGACGGAUUCGUACCCGAGAGGGUGGAUCUGGAACGGCCCGCGCUUGGCGCUGCUGCCCCGACGAACCUUAACUUCGGCGGAAGAGGUAGGCUCGACCUGCCCGCCGCCGGCCGUAACCAUUUUUACUCUGCAACGAGAAUCUGAAGCCUGAUAACUAGCAAAAGCAAAUGAAAAGCAAAACUUUCAACAACGGAUCUCUUGGCUCUG
rnacentral:misc_RNA from 1 species